UGACAUCACAAGGUUCCCAAUGGCCCUGGGAGUGCAGAGGAUUUAAUGUCUAUGCGUGAGAAAACACAAAAAAAGCCUAGCCCGAAGGUUUUGGGGUGUCAUCACGGUGGCCAGUGAUUAAUGGCAACAAAAGGUGCAACUCCUAAGUGGUGGGACCACCAUGAUGUCACUGCUGCUCAGGCUGCCCUUUGCCUUUAUAUUUAGGUGAAGCUGGAGGUCCCUGGGGAGUUUCAUUGAGUGUUCAUUAUUUACCAGGCACGCUGGACAUUAGAAGAAGAAGAUGAAGAAGAAGAGGAGAGGAGCAAGUGUGAGAAGAGGCUGACGCUGAAGUCAAAACGAAAGAAAAGAGAAAGGGCCAUCAGACACAAAAAACAAUUCAGGACGAUGAAAAGUAAGCACCGGUCUCACGAAAGUUUGUAUUCAAAAAUUAAGUCUCUAAAGUGAAAGAAAAGGUGAGACGAGCAGUAGCUGAAUGUCUAGGUGAGCGCGAAAAGGAAAUAAGUGAACUGUUGAGGAUGUGAAGAGAACAAAGACAGAAAGAAAUAAAAUGGAAAGGAGGGCUUCAGAGGGUCGAAGACAUGGGGUCAACUCUGGCAAACCGCUGGCGAAUUGGUGCUUCCUGACAGCGUGAGAUGGGA